CAAGGUGAGCUCUCCACCGUCCCUCACCGAUCUUGAGUUUCUUCCUUCAAAUCUUUCACGAUUUUCACAAGUUUUCACUUUGUUUUGAAGAUUUUGAGCAUUUGAGCAAGUUUUGAAGCUUGGAAGACACAGGAGCUCUUUUCCUUUGGUUUCCAAGUUUAGGUCGUUUUCCUCUCGAUCUCCAAGAGGUAAGGGCCGAUCUUGAGCUCACUGUAUGUUUUAAACAAGUUUUAAGUUGAUCUAUGGGGUAGAAAUGCAUGUUUAGGUUUUGGUUGGUUUUAUGGGUUAUGUUAAGUUUUUUGAGCAAUGUAUGAUUUUUGUGGUUGCUUGAUGUGUUGUAGUUGGGG
rnacentral:lncRNA from 1 species